UCUCUCUCUCUCUCUCUCUCUCUCUCUCUCUAUCUCUCUCUCUCUCUCUCUCUCUCUCUCUCUCUCUCUCUUUCUCUGUCUACAGCGAUCAGGAGGUAGGAGAAUGGCUGGAAUGAUGAAGAACAUCCCCUUGUCAUCCUCUUCCUAGGCUCCUCUGGAAUCGGGAUUCAUCUGUAUGGACAUGUCCGAAUUCUAGGAGAAGCACGAGGUAUGAUAUCAUCAACACCACUUUCCCAAAACCAGGAAGAUACUUCACAUUCCCACAACCAGGAAGAUACUUCAUAUUCCCAAAACCAGGAAGAUACUUCACAUUCCCACAACCAGGAAGAGACUUCAUAGUCCCACAACCAGGAAGAGACUUCAUAUUCCCACAACCAGGAAGAGACUUCAUGUUCCCACAACCAGGAAGAGACUUCAUAUUCCCAAAAUCAGGAAGAGACUUCAUAUUCCCACAACCAGGAAGAGACUUCAUGUUCCCACAACCAGGAAGAGACUUCAUGUUCCCACAACCAGGAAGGUCAUUGGGCUGGGAUACAUUACCUAUCUACUGUAGGGCCGUCUUACAGAUGGCAAGGGGAAGACCAUUGAGUGUAAGGACACCAUCUUCAUCAUAACCUUGAGCGUGGCCAGUGACGACAUCGCCCAGCAUGGAGGCCCAGGAGCUCAGCCGCAGGAAACUGGCCGACAACCUGGAUGAGGUUCAGAAGAGUGAUGUCACCAUCUCCAGGCAGUUUAAGGGUGCUGUGAUUCGCCCCAUACUGAAGGCCCAUUUCCGGAGAGACGAGUUUCUGGGGCGGAUCAAUGAGAUUGUCUACUUCCUGCCGUUCUGCCCCUCUGAACUGCAGCAGCUUGUCAGCAAAGAGCUCAACUUCUGAGAAGGUGGAGUGGGAGGUGGUCAUCCAACUGACAGCGGCCUACGAGCAGGAGCGCCUCUCUAAAGGCUGCACCCUCCGCCUGUCUGUCCACACAGAGGACAGGGGCGGGGCCGGGGGGCAGGAAGGGAAGGGGCAGGGCAUUAUCAGUCUGCAUCUGAAGGUAAUUGGGAAGGACAGCACAGCACGGAUACUGGAUAUACGCCCUCCUCUCAGCCCCGAUCACUAACACACAGCACGGAUACUGGAUAUACGCCCUCCUCUCAGCCCCGAUCACUAACACACAGCACGGAUACUGGAUAUACGCCCUCCUCUCAGCCCCGAUCACUAACACACAGCACGGAUACUGGAUAUACGCCCUCCUCUCAGCCCCGAUCACUAACACACAGCACGGAUACUGGAUAUACGCCCUCCUCUCAGCCCCGAUCACUAACACACAGCACGGAUACUGGAUAUACGCCCUCCUCUCAGCCCCGAUCACUAACACACUGCACAAAUACUGGAUAUACACCCUCCUCUCAGCCCCGAUCACUAACACACUGCACGGAUACUGGAUAUACGCCCUCCUCUCAGCCCCGAUCACAAACACACUGCGCGGACACUGGAUAUAUGCCCUCCUCUCAACGUAUCACCUCAUAGUAACGUCUCACCUCGUAGUAACGUAUCACCUCGUAGUAACGUAUCACCUCGUAGUAACGUAUCACCUCGUAGUAACGUAUCACCUCGUAGUAACGUAUCACCUCGUAGUAACGUAUCACCUCAUAGUAACGUAUCACCUCAUAGUAACGUCUCACCUCGUAGUAACGUAUCACCUCGUAGUAACGUAUCACCUCGUAGUAACGUAUCACCUCGUAGUAACGUAUCACCUCGUAGUAACGUAUCACCUCGUAGUAACGUAUCACUUCGUAGUAACGUAUCACUUCAUAGUAACGUAUCACCUCGUAGCCAUGAGUUGGUUUUCAUGGAGCUAAUUAGUCAAUAAGGCCCAAGAGGGUGUGGUAUAUGGCCAAUAUACCACGGCUAAGGGCUGUUCUUAUGCAUGACGCAACAUGACCAUAUACCACAAACCCCAGAGGAGCGUUAUUGCUAUUAUAAACUGGUUGGUUACCAAUGUAAUUAGAACAGUAAACAAGCCAUUUUGUGUUAUACCCGUGGUAUAUUGUCUGAGGACAGGACCCAAUCUACCCGGUUAAUAAUAAGAAUUAUAAACUGGGUGGUGCAAGCCAUGAAUGUUGAUUGGCUGACAGCUGUGAUUUGUGUGAUGUCGGGGGUUUGUGGAAUAUGACCAAUAUACCACGGCUAAGUGCUGUAUCCAGGCACUCCACAUUGAGUCGUGCAUAAGAACAGCCCUUAGCCGUGGUAUAUUAGCUAUAUACCACACCUCCUUGGGCCUUACUGCUUAAAUAGAACCUCUCAGAAGAAACACAUUGCACUGGCUGUCUGUUACUCUUCAUACUGUAUCCACAGCACACACACAUUGGUUCUGAGUCAUCUGAGUCAUGUAAACGGUGACAUUAGAAAGUAACUCAAGUUUAUGGAUGAUAAAUGAUGGAUAUCAAUAAACUGCCUCGUGAAAUGUUUCAGUAUAGUUGGAUGCAUUGCGGCCUUUGUCACAAAAAUGUUUAGUGGUGUUCGGUGGGAAUCAAUCUGACAUUGUAAAGAUAUGAAUAUUAUUUAGACACUUUAAUGUAUCCUUCACGUUUACAAGGAGCCGAGCUAAAGAAGCAACACAUUUUUCAUUGUUGCAUAUGAACCCCCAUCGUGUUGUAAAUAAAGCUGCUGUGGUC